UACGUAGGGUGCAAGCGUUGUCCGGAAUUAUUGGGCGUAAAGAGCUCGUAGGCGGUCUGUCGCGUCUGCUGUGAAAACUCAGGGCUUAACCCUGAGCUUGCAGUGGGUACGGGCAGACUAGAGUGCGGUAGGGGAGACUGGAAUUCCUGGUGUAGCGGUGAAAUGCGCAGAUAUCAGGAGGAACACCGAUGGCGAAGGCAGGUCUCUGGGCUGACACUGACGCUCGAGGUGCGAAAGCUAGGGGAGCGAACAGG
rnacentral:rRNA from 1 species